AAGUUGGAAACCUUCAUCUGACGAAGCAAAACCUGAAUCACAGAACAAUGAUUGCAAAAGGUAAAGAUGCAACAACAAGAUUGAGAAACUUGAGUCCAGCCCACAAGACAGAUGAGUAUAAAAUGAGACAAAUGCACACCGCUCAUUUCCCUCUUUACCCAGAACCUCUGGCAUCGUUUCCGCCUGCUGAGAGGAUGAAGUUUGUUAUGCUCUUCCUCGUUGCGGCUCUGGUCGUCCUGAUGGCCGAACCGGGGGAAUGUUUCUUAAAGAAGCUUUGGG